CCGACGAACGCCACUACAUGGUAUAUCUGUAGUAACAUAGAGCUAAUACAUGCAAUAUAGUCUGACUUUUUGGAAGGACUAGCACUUAUUAGAUAUUAAACCAAUCCCAGCAAUGGGUUCUUGGUGAUUCAUAGUAACUGAACAAAUCACAUGGUCUCGUACCGGUGAUGUUUCAUUCAAAAUUUCUGCCCUAUCAACUAGAUGGUAGUAUAUAGGACUACCAUGGUUGUAACGGGUAACGGAGGAUUAGGGUUUGAUUCCGGAGAAGGAGCAUGAGAAACGGCUACUAUUUCUAAGGAAAGCAGCAGGCGCGCAAAUUAUUCAAUGGAAACAAUUUUCCGAAAUAGUGACAAAAAUAUCAAUGCUAAGUACUAUGUAUUUAGUAAUUGGAAUGAGUACAAUUUAAAUCCCUUAACAAGUAACAAUUAGAGGGCAAGUCUGGUGC
rnacentral:rRNA from 1 species